rnacentral:lncRNA from 1 species
AUCCACUAAGCAAAAAUGUACUCAUGAAAUUUAACAAUUCAUACCAAGCAAGUGUUUCACUCAAUCACUCAAGUGUUUAAGGUGACACUCCAACUCUCUAUUGUUCACAAGUCACAUGAAACAAAAUUGCCAUUCAUCUCAAACAAUCAACAUCUUUACAUGCAAAUGCCAUCAAAAGGACUUUCCCAAGGCUUGUAAUGAGGUUGGGCUAACAAGAAAGAAUUCGUUUUUCUAGAAUGCAAAAUCCUUGAAUCAAGAAAGCUAACAAAAUAUUCAAUAUUUAAGAACCACUCUCACCAAUGUCUCUCAUUCCCAAUUUUUCCCUUUUCUUUUUCUUUUGCAUUGAGCUCUUCUUCAUGAUUUUCUUCUUUUCUUUUCUCUUUUUCUCAUGAAUUUUCUCUUUUCACAACAGUUGAGCUCAAUGCCUUUCACUUGCUUUUUCAAUUUUCCGUACAACCCCAAACUUGAACCUUUUCAUCACAUACAAGUUAGCU